rnacentral:rRNA from 1 species
GUAGUCUCGCACAGAUGCAUAUCAAUAAGCGGAGGAAAAGAAACUAACAAGGAUUCCCUCAGUAACGGCGAGUGAAGCGGGAAGAGCUCAAAUUUGAAAUCUUGAAAGGUCACCUUUCACGAAUUGUAGUUUAAAGAAGUGUUUUCUGUUACGAUCGUAAUAUAAGUUCUUUGGAAUAGGACAUCAUAGAGGGUGAGAAUCCCGUAUAUUGACCAUUGGAUUUGUCAGCUGUGUGAUACACUUUCAAAGAGUCGGAUUGUUUGGGAAUGCAGUCCCAAAAUGGGUAAGUAAAUUUCAUCUAAGGCUAAAUAUUGGCGAGAGACCGAUAGCGAACAAGUACCGUGAGGGAAAGAUGAAAAGAACUUUGAAAAGAGAGUUAAACAGUACGUGAAAUUGUCAAAAGGGAAGCGUUUGACACCUAGUGUUGUUUUCUCGAAAAUCAAUUAAAAAGAGUUAGAUUUUGUUGUGUAUUGACCUUAACAGCUUGCAUUUCAAUUUUCUUGCUUUUUUUAAUGCACUUUUCGUUUAACAAGUCAACAUCAGUUUCUUUUGUUGUAAAAAGGUCAUUGGAAGGUGGCUUUCCUUUCGGAGAAAGUGUUUAUAGCCUUUGACUCCUGCAAUCGGAGAGACUGAGGUCUGCAGCGUAGAUCCUUCGGGGUUAGAUACAUUUGUGCUAAGUUAUAGCUUUUUAUAGACAACUUGUUGACUAUGAUUAGUCUUGUAGCUUACUCGCUUAUGCUAUUUUACCUACGCUUAGGAUGUUGAAGAUGUAGCACAUCAU